rnacentral:piRNA from 1 species
UUACAGUAAGCACAGUGAUCUUUAGC